rnacentral:rRNA from 1 species
UACAGGGGGUGCAAACGUUGCUCGGAAUCAUUGGGCGUAAAGCGCACGUAGGCGGUUCGUUAUGUCGGAUGUGAAAGCCCUUGGCUUAACCGAGGAAGUGCAUCCGAAACUGGCGAGCUAGAGUACUAAAGAGGAUCGCGGAAUUCCCGGUGUAGAGGUGAAAUACGUAGAUAUCGGGAGGAACACCGGUGGCGAAGGCGGCGAUCUGGGUAGAUACUGACGCUGAGGUGCGAAAGCGUGGGGAGCAAACAGG